rnacentral:rRNA from 1 species
GCAGUCGAGGGGUAUAGUAGCAAUACUAGAGACCGGCGCACGGGUGCGUAACGCGUAUGCAAUCUACCUUUCACAGAGGGAUAGCCCAGAGAAAUUUGGAUUAAUACCUCAUAGUAUAAUGAGUUGGCAUCAACACAUUAUUAAAGUCACAACGGUGAAAGAUGAGCAUGCGUCCCAUUAGCUAGUUGGUAAGGUAACGGCUUACCAAGGCAACGAUGGGUAGGGGUCCUGAGAGGGAGAUCCCCCACACUGGUACUGAGACACGGACCAGACUCCUACGGGAGGCAGCAGUGAGGAAUAUUGGACAAUGGGCGCAAGCCUGAUCCAGCCAUGCCGCGUGCAGGAUGACGGUCCUAUGGAUUGUAAACUGCUUUUGCGCAGGAAGAAACACCCCGACGUGUCGGGGCUUGACGGUACUGUGAGAAUAAGGAUCGGCUAACUCCGUGCCAGCAGCCGCGGUAAUACGGAGGAUCCAAGCGUUAUCCGGAAUCAUUGGGUUUAAAGGGUCCGUAGGCGGGCUAAUAAGUCAGUGGUGAAAUCUCUCGGCUCAACCGGGAAAUGGCCAUUGAUACUGUUAGUCUUGAAUUAUUAGGAAGUAACUAGAAUAUGUAGUGUAGCGGUGAAAUGCUUAGAGAUUACAUGGAAUACCAAUUGCGAAGGCAGGUUACUACUAAUUGAUUGACGCUGAUGGACGAAAGCGUGGGUAGCGAACAGGAUUAGAUACCCUGGUAGAAUCACUAGUGAAUUC